rnacentral:lncRNA from 1 species
UUACAACCUUCUCUGCGCAUGUAUAUAUAAACUACUGAGGUUACGCUCCUAACGGAAGGCAAACUGGCCGCUUGCACAAGUCUGUGGCACUCUUCAUCUCCUGCCAUGGCACGUUCCUUGGCAAUCCUUGUUAUCAUAUUCAUAUGCUGCUCCCUGCCAUGCUCAAUGGCCAAACAAGGUUAGUACUUGGUAGUUAAUCAGGUUAAUGCAUGUUUCGUGCACUAGCUCUUAUAUUCUAGGCCCGGGUUCAUCCAAGCAUUAGCACUUGUAUAGUCGUAUAUAAAUUUAUGGUGCGCAUAUACGCAGUUCAUCUAGAUGGAAGCCGUCCGAGUUUUGGUCCUCCGUCACCGCAGGGUGCGAACCCGCAUGGCUGUGUUGGUAGAUGCAAUAACGGGCGUCCAGACACCACAUCUCCGACGACGGCAGCCCUUACACCGCACCGCAAGACCCUGCAGCAGGCUAUUCUAGAUUGAUAUGUGUAUAUAUGACACAUGCAAGUGUUCCGCUAGAGUCUUGGAAAGUUUACCAUUGACUAUUGCGUACACUUUUUGUCAGGGGUGUCUGGAAAUGAUUACGAAGAUGGUGUAUGACAGUAAAUAAAUAUGAGGAUGGCUGUACUGUUUUUAUAUAUUAUAUAAUUGUGAACUCUAAUUAAUCAGUGUAUUGCAUGAAUAAACUGUCUAUUUAGUGCUCCAAAAUCCAUAUAGUAGGAAGCCAUAUGGAAUAUGGAGCCAAGUGCAGAUUUUUGGUCCCCG